ensembl:rRNA 5S_rRNA 5S ribosomal RNA
AUCUACAGUCAUACUACCCUGAACGCACCAACUUCUUUUAAUCUCAGAAGCUAGGUUGGGUUAGGCCUGGUUAGUACUUAGAUGGACGACAACCUGGGAAUACUGGGUGCUGUGAGCU